rnacentral:rRNA from 1 species
GACGAACGCUGGCGGCGUGCCUAAUACAUGCAAGUAGAACGCUGAAGGAGGAGCUUGCUUCUCCGGAUGAGUUGCGAACGGGUGAGUAACGCGUAGGUAACCUGCCUGGUAGCGGGGGAUAACUAUUGGAAACGAUAGCUAAUACCGCAUAAGAGUAGAUGUCGCAUGACAUUUUCUUAAAAGGUGCAACUGCACCACUACCAGAUGGACCUGCGUUGUAUUAGCUAGUUGGUGAGGUAACGGCUCACCAAGGCAACGAUACAUAGCCGACCUGAGAGGGUGAUCGGCCACACUGGGACUGAGACACGGCCCAGACUCCUACGGGAGGCAGCAGUAGGGAAUCUUCGGCAAUGGACGGAAGUCUGACCGAGCAACGCCGCGUGAGUGAAGAAGGUUUUCGGAUCGUAAAGCUCUGCUGUAAGAGAAGAACGAGUGUGAGAGUGGAAAGUUCACACUGUGACGGUAUCUUACCAGAAAGGGACGGCUAACUACGUG